rnacentral:lncRNA from 1 species
CCAAAACAUCCUCUAGUACACGAGGGUACUCUAAUGCAUAAAGGAAAAGCUACUAACUAGGCUCACUUAGGGCGCUAUGCCCUUGCCGCGGUCCUCGCUCGGCUCGCCUCUGUGUGUACCUGUACCCCAAAACCACAUGGGGUGAGAACUAUAUAAAUAUAGUUCCCAGUGGGUUCGGCCGCCGACUUCGCCGAUCUUCCCACUAGGUCCAAGCAGGCACAAGUAGAUAGAUAGAUAGAUAGAUAGAUGUGAAAUUGAAGUGCAACAUAGUAAAGUAAUAUGCAACAUUCUACUAUGCCUUCAAUAACCAAUGGAAUGAGCUACAACAUAGUAUAUGAUCUAUGCCUCAAUAAUCCAAUGUAUGAACAACUACAUAGUAUGCAAUCUACACAUGCUACUAUGUCUCAACAGUAAAGAAUGCAUAGAACUACUACAUAGUAUGCAAUCUACUCAAUAACAAGGGUGAGGAUCCGCUCACUCACCCAAAUCACAAUCUAGUCUCAAAGGGGCGGAUCCGCUCACUCGCCCGACUCACAACAUAGGUAUGACAACCCAAUCUCGACUCAUAGGUGAGGAUCAGCUCACUCACCCAACUCUCAAUCUACACACAGCGGGGUUCUACACACAACGGGGAGGAUCCGCUCACUCGCCCGACUCCCAAUUUAAACACAACGGGGAGGAUCCGCUCACUCGCCCGACUCACACUCUAAACACAACGGGGAGGAUCCGCUCACUCGCCCGACUCUCGACAUAGGUACGACAACCCAAUCUCAAUUCAUAGGUGAGGAUCAGCUCACUCACCCGACUCACCUGGGGAGGAUCAGCUCACUUGCCCAAGACUGUCUGCGGGACCCAAAUGGCUAUCCCUAUCAUGUGACGACUCCGGAGUGCACUGCUUGUGUGUAGCGACCACCUACAAGCUCUGAACAGACAUGUGAGUAUGAUCCAAUCCUCACAAGAGGAUACCCUAUCUACCAGGGUUAAUGUGCCUCAACUGCACUAAUGCCAAAUGCAUAAUGUCUACAACAUGACAAUCGGAAAAAUCUACUAUCCCUAGGUUCAAAUGCCAUAGUGUUCCACUACACUAGAUUUGAUGCCACUCAUUUAUGUCAUGAUGCUAUAUGUGUCUCAAUACACUAAAUUGACAUGCCACUCGUUCUUGUUAUAGUGUCUCUAUUACACUAAUCCAAAUGCUACUAGUUUUCAUCAUCACGAGUCCAAGUUCAUCAUCAUUCGUGUCACUAUAGGAUUCUUGUCACAUGACCCAAUCCUCAUGCAACCUAAGUUCAAGUGUCAAGCCCACAAUGCUACAUUACCAUAGGAAAUAUGCAAGGAAAUGGAAUGUAAUCAUCUACUAAUCCUAUAAUGCACAAUAUCAAUAUAUGAAUAUGAUCAAAAUAAAACUUAGACAUAAAAGGAAGCCCGGUUGCUUCGGGAUGACACCCCCCACCUUUUAUCGCUAUCACGAGGCUAGGGUUUCGAUUUCGUGAUUUUUGGAAGCUUUCGCCGCAAGCUGCGGCAAUCUGUACCUUAACGGCUUCGUUCUUUAAUAUCUUCGCGUACGUUCGUCGUAUCGCCGAACCGACUUCGCCAACGCGUCAGAAAACCUAACAAUUAGGUUUAUACAUGAUCAAUUUAGAUCAAAACCCCUCACAAGCAAAACCCCUCUUUUGAUGCCCUAAGAUGCAACUAUGCAAGAAUUCAUCAUUUGAUCUCUAAAUUCGAGCAUCAACCAUCUAUUUAGCAUCUAGGAGUUUCACUAAACCCAUUUCUAAGGCAUACAACUCAUUACUUAGCAAUCUACCAUUGUUGCUAUCAAAGCUUACCUCUCAAACCCAAGCUCUCUCCAAGCCAAUGGUGAAGAAAAAGAAAGCUUCACCUCUAAGCAAGCUUUUUCUUUUCCAAAUCCAUCUCCAAUUUCUCUCUUUGGUGGAGAAAUUGCUAGAGAGAGAGAGAUCUUUCUCUUUGGUUGCAAAUGUGAGGAAAUGAGAGAAAAGGCUCAAUCCUUCAUAUAUAUAUGUAUAUAGGAAACUUGGCCUCCAAGUUUCAUAGGAAACUUGACCUCCAAGUUAUCCAAGAAUACUAUUCACUCCAGGCAGUUCCAAAUCUGAUAUCUUUCGCCGGAACUCCCUAAACAUCCGUUUGAGCUCAAAUUUGACAGUCAUAUUCGGUUUUGCUUAACGAGUCCAAAGAAAUUUUAAUAUUUCAGUUUCGACCCCGUUUGGUCACCGAAAGCUCUACCGAACUGAAAUCUUUAUCAGAUAACAGUCGGAUUUUAUUUUCCACCUUUCGGGUGUCAGAAUGAUAUGAAACUUUAAAUAUAGCCUCAUAAAAAUAAUCCUGACUUAUCCUCCCGUUUUCAGAAUUUUCUGACACUGUGCAUUUUCUGCUAAUUUAUCUGCCCCGUUUCGCACAGAAAAUUUUAAAUCUUCUGUUUUCGCUCCGAUUUCAGCACAGGUCAUUCCCAACCUAUAUUUCACUUCUCUAAAUCCAAUAAAAAUAGUAUCUCAUACUACUUUUAUUUAUUUCUAUUUUUAUAUUUAAAACCCGGUAUAUUACAUUCCACCGCAACCUCACCGGAAUCAUUUAAAUGUACACCGUAACUUCAUUGUUUUAGAAGUCCGGUACCUUACAGGUCCCCUAUACAAAAAAAU